rnacentral:rRNA from 1 species
AGUGAAAUAGAACCUGAAACCCUGCACUUACAAGCUGUGGAAGCACAUUUCUUGUGUGACCGCGUACUUUUUGUAGAACGGGCCAACGAGUUACGUUAAGUAGCAAGGUUAAGCACUUAAGGUGCGGGGCCGUAGCGAAAGCGAGUUUUAACUGAGCGUUCAGUUACUUGACGUAGACCCGAAACCGGGCGACCUACCCAUGAGCAGGAUGAAGCGAAAGUAAAAUUUCGUGGAGGUCCGAACCCACGAGCG